GAAGAGAAAAUAAUUCGCCGAAACCGAAGUCCGAAGAGAAGGGGAGCAGACGAAGAAAGGGGGAGCAGACGGAAAAAACCUUGCCCAAAUAUGAUUGAAGUGAAUAGGCACCCUUAUUUAGAUCUGAAGAUGAGGACUGAUCCCUUGCGAGUACCCGAACUGCCUAUAGCUAUCCUCUUUUUUGAAAUUUUAACACGCCCAUAUCAAUAGAUUGCUUUCUGUUUCUAGAUCGCGCACCAUGGUGAUAUUAUGUAUGGUUGUACCUCCAACAGUUUUACUGUCAAAAUAUCCAUUACAGUGGAUCUGUUAAAGCAUAU
rnacentral:lncRNA from 1 species